rnacentral:lncRNA from 1 species
UUAUUUUUUAGCAAAAUAUUUGAUCAAGUUCUCUUCAGGUUUGUUAAAUAUAUUUUCUGUUAUUUCUGAUUAAACCUACACAUCACUACCUAUAUAAUAAGACAUCUAUAUAAAGUUUUCGGAAAUAAAUAUGGUUUGAUAUUUAUCGUUAUGCUUCAGUGUUAAAAAUUAGAAUAUUCAAAAAAAAUUCUUUAUAUUUUUCAAUAUACUUUAAAAUUACUAAUAUUUUUAAAGUAAAUAUGUUCUACUCUCUACAAAAUAACUUAUAGAAUAAAUUUUAAAUGAUUAUAAUAAAUCUACCCACUGCAUCGCGCGGGUCACUACACUAGUUGAAAAUAAAAUUAUCUGUUACUUUUUGUGGCAAUAUUACCUUCGCAUUUAUAUCAUAUUUUCUAUCUACGUGUUUCUUAAAUAUUUCCUUCUCACACGUAAUAUCCGCACNAUCUGUUACUUUUUGUGGCAAUAUUACCUUCGCAUUUAUAUCAUAUUUUCUAUCUACGUGUUUCUUAAAUAUUUCCUUCUCACACGUAAUAUCCGCACCCAUUAAUUCUUUCGCAACAUAAUAUCCGUGAAUUUCUCAAAUAUCUCAUUAAUCCACCUACUAUUCAACCAAUCAUUUCAAAUAAUUAACUAAGUAAUAAUUUAUUCCCAAAUAAAGAUAAAUAUUUUUCUUAUAACGCGUAAUAUCCGCACCCGCCAAUUCUUUUGCAACGUAAUAUCCGUGAAUUUCUCAAAUACUCAUUAAUCCACCUACCAUUUGAAUUUAAUAAUUAUAGGUGACUUUGAAAUAAAAUCUCCUUCAUUCAUUAUAGAUGAUUUUUAAUAAUAUUGUAAAAGAUACUAUUUCCUUAAAAAUUUUAAUUUUAUUUUUUCUAAAAUAGUCAUAUUCCCUAAAGUAGUAAUAUCCGCACAACAUAAUUAUAGGUGACUUUGAAAUAAAAUUUUCUUCAUUAUAGAUGAUUUUUAAUAAUAUUGUAAAAGAUACUAUUUCCUUAAAAAAUUUAAUUUUAUUUUUCCUAAAAUAGUCAUAUUCCCUAAAGUAGUAAUAUCCGCACAAUAUCCGUGAAUUUCUCAAAUAUCUCAUUAAUCCACCUACCAUUUGAAUUUAAUAAUUAUAGGUGACUUUGAAAUAAAAUCUCCUUCAUUCAUUAUAGAUGAUUUUUAAUAAUAUUGUAAAAGAUACUAUUUCCUUAAAAAAUUU